GACGAACGCUGGCGGCGUGCCUAAUACAUGCAAGUCGAACGCUUCUUUCCUCCCGAGUGCUUGCCCUCAAUUGGAAAGAGGAGUGGCGGACGGGUGAGUAACACGUGGGUAACCUACCCAUCAGAGGGGGAUAACACUUGGAAACAGGUGCUAAUACCGCCUAACAGUUUAUGCCGCAUGGCAUAAGAGUGAAAGGCGCUUUCGGGUGUCGCUGAUGGAUGGACCCGCGGUGCAUUAGCUAGUUGGUGAGGUAACGGCUCACCAAGGCCACGAUGCAUAGCCGACCUGAGAGGGUGAUCGGCCACACUGGGACUGAGACACGGCCCAGACUCCUACGGGAGGCAGCAGUAGGGAAUCUUCGGCAAUGGACGAAAGUCUGACCGAGCAACGCCGCGUGAGUGAAGAAGGUUUUCGGAUCGUAAAACUCUGUUGUUAGAGAAGAACAAGGACGUUAGUAACUGAACGUCCCCUGACGGUAUCUAAACAGAAAGCCACGGCUAACUACGUG
rnacentral:rRNA from 1 species